GGGGGUGUAUGAGUCCCGGUGGGCUUCCCGGUCUUCAAAACCGGUGGCGGGUCGCACAGCGCGGGCCGCGGUGGGUUCGACUCCCAUACACUCCCGCCA
rnacentral:tRNA from 1 species